rnacentral:lncRNA from 1 species
UUCUGUGUUUUUUGGGUACUUUUCACUGUUAACCCUUUACCUCUAAAAUGAAAUAUCAUAGAUACUUUUUCUUAACGUCACGUACUCUAAUUUAUAUGAUAGGGUAACGCAUACUGUCAGGUAUUCCUUCAUGAAAAAGAUUUAAAAAGUAAAAUCACAAAAAUACUAAACUCAGAGGAAAAUCAAAUCGGAAAGUCCCUAAGCAUGGCAAAAUUCAAAUGACAAAAGACAUCAAAAAACGAAUGGACAACAACUGUCUUAUUGCUGACUUGGUAAUUUACUUAGAUAUCAAACGUUUCUUCUAUUUUCGAAAAUGUGACGCUAACACCCAAUUUUACAUGUCAAAAAGGAAUUUCUACUUUCUAUUUCAAAAUUUAGAAAGCCUCAGAGAUAACCGCUAGAAUCUGCAUCAAAUAUAAAACAGUAUAGAAC